CCUACGGGUGGCUGCAGUGGGGAAUAUUGGACAAUGGGGGCAACCCUGAUCCAGCCAUGCCGCGUGUGUGAAGAAGGCCCUCGGGUUGUAAAGCACUUUCAGUGAGGAAGAACGCCUGGUGGUUAAUACCCAUCAGGAAAGACAUCACUCACAGAAGAAGCACCGGCUAUCUCCGUGCCAGCAGCCGCGGUAAUACGGAGGGUGCGAGCGUUAAUCGGAAUUACUGGGCGUAAAGCGCGCGUAGGUGGCUUGAUAAGCCGGUUGUGAAAGCCCCGGGCUCAACCUGGGAACGGCAUCCGGAACUGUCAAGCUAGAGUGCAGGAGAGGAAGGUAGAAUUCCCGGUGUAGCGGUGAAAUGCGUAGAGAUCGGGAGGAAUACCAGUGGCGAAGGCGGCCUUCUGGACUGACACUGACACUGAGGUGCGAAAGCGUGGGUAGCAAACAGGAUUAGAUACCCCUGUAGUC
rnacentral:rRNA from 1 species